CAUGUCAAUUCCUCCUGGGAUUUUAUCGCUCAUAUAUCCAUAUGCAUAAUCAUCAGUAUAAUAAUAUAUGCAAUUGUUUCUCAUCCAGGGUAGUUUUCAGCUGAUAUAGCGAUUGACGUGUUAAAACCAAGAAACAAACAAUAAUUCCCCAGAUUAAGUAAUCUUUUCCACUUCUUAUCAAGAAUAUCCAGUCUGUGCACUUCAAACUUAUCUGUUUUAUAAGCAGGAUCUUUUAUAUCAUGAAAGAACUCGUCAUAAUCUUCAUAAUGAUCAUUAUAAUCACACAAAAACUUGACAACUAGUAACAGUUCUCCUGACAUCUCUACUAGAUAUUUCAGCUCAUCCUGAAGACCUAUACCUGAUACUGGCAACACUUCAGUGAGCACAGAAACCAUCCUAUCAACAAUGUCACAAACCAUAGCAACACCUUCGACAGUAACAAC
rnacentral:lncRNA from 1 species